UACGAAGGGGGCUAGCGUUGCUCGGAAUCACUGGGCGUAAAGGGUGCGUAGGCGGGUUUUUAAGUCAGGGGUGAAAUCCUGGAGCUCAACUCCAGAACUGCCUUUAAUACUGAAGAUCUUGAAUCCGGGAGAGGUGAGUGGAACUGCGAGUGUAGAGGUGAAAUUCGUAGAUAUUCGCAAGAACACCAGUGGCGAAGGCGGCUCACUGGCCCGGUACUGACGCUGAGGCACGAAAGCGUGGGGAGCAAACAGG
rnacentral:rRNA from 1 species